rnacentral:rRNA from 1 species
UGGGGAAUCUUGGACAAUGGGCGCAAGCCUGAUCCAGCCAUGCCGCGUGAGUGAAGAAGGCCUUAGGGUUGUAAAACUCUUUCGCCGGAGAAGAUAAUGACGGUAUCCGGAGAAGAAGCCCCGGCUAACUUCGUGCCAGCAGCCGCGGUAAUACGAAGGGGGCUAGCGUUGUUCGGAAUUACUGGGCGUAAAGCGCACGUAGGCGGGUUUGUAAGUAGGGGGUGAAAUCCCAGGGCUCAACCCUGGAACUGCCUUCUAAACUGCAAGCCUGGAGGUCAGGAGAGGCGAGUGGAAUACCGAGUGUAGAGGUGAAAUUCGUAGAUAUUCGGUGGAACACCAGUGGCGAAGGCGACUCGCUGGACUGAUACUGACGCUGAGGUGCGAAAGCGUGGGGAGCAAACAGGAUUAGAUACCCGCGUAGUCCCUGAGCGGGCUGGCAAGGCGCAU